rnacentral:lncRNA from 10 species
UUUUUUUUUAAGUCAAGCAAGACCCAGCAUGUGGAGAGGAGGCAGUUGGCAAUUUUGCUACUGUUCUAAAACACAGCCUUUGAUGAAGCCAUCGAAUGGUAUCCCCACUUGUACAGGAAUUCAUCAAGGAACCCCUAAGCAGCACAACAGAUUACAUGAUCUACUGCAAAAUAGGAAAGACCAUGACUGGAUUAGUGGAAAGACGGAAUGGAGCAGAGCUUGAAAAACAUUGUCAUAAAGAGUAAAUCAGAGUCACUAGAAAAAAGGACACAAACAGAAGAAGGAUGAGGCAGAGUGAACCAAGGCUUUAAGAUGUGUAAGUGCAAGUUAAGAUUUAAGAUGUUCUAUAAAUGUUUAUUGAGUGACUGAAGGAAUGAAUGCAUAAUAUCAGAGUCCCCGCACUUUACUGCACUUGAGAGAGUAGACGCAUAAUGACAGGAUAGUAAAAGGGAAUUGAAGGUCAGAGUUAAGAUGUACUUAAGGGAUACAUUUAAGCUGAAGCAACCAAGAGUUCUUUGGGAGCAGCACAGAAAAACUGAACAUUGUGUUGUAUUGCUUUUGAAAACUCCCAAGAAGUUUUGGCCAAUGCAGCUACCAUGCAACGCAUUAAAGAGUGAUGGCCACAUUGUGCCUCUCCGAAUCAUCCAGGUGGCUGGAUUAAAAGGGGGUGCACCACUUAGCAAACUCUUUCACCAGCUGUUUCUAUGUGUGAAUUUUGAAGCUGCCAAACCAUACACGAAUGGCACGUUGGCCUCUACAGUCGCACAAGCGCAGUAAGCCACUAUCACAGAUGUGCUAUGUUCACACAAUAUUCACGGUAGCUAGACGGCAGCUAACUUCCUCAGAGGACACUGGGUGCACCAGCUGCUGGUGACAGCAAUAGAAUCAGAUAGGUUCUGCCCUGUAGUUUUUAAAUGCUGCCUGCUUUAAAAAGCAGAGCCUCCAAAUAAUGCAGGAGCUAACAAGUUUGCAAAGGAAAUGCACUUGCAAUAUGCAAACCAGAGCAGCUGGGUAUCCCAACUGUGUAAAGAAACACGGAGAGCUCUUCUUUCCCUCAAACUGAUAUUACUCACACGGGUUUUAUAGAGUCGAAAGCAUAUGCUUAAGUAUAAUUACUCAACAACUCAGACCAAUUUCUACAUCACAGCCACAUAAAUGAGAUAUUUCAUUCCACCUAGGUGGUGACAAUGUGACUCUUUUGCCUGGGUAUUUCUGAUGAGUAUUAUAAACCAGUGGCUCAAGAGGCAACAUUUUGAGAUUAAUUUGAAAAACAAGAUAUUUCAUACACACACAAUAUGUGUAACACUCUAUAUAAGUAGAUAAAACAAAUCACCAUCUAGAUUAAGAAAGAACAUCACCAGUACAACUCAAAUCUCUUCUCUAUCACUCCAUGUUUGUAUCCCCCAGGACCAGCUGCAUAAUUUGAGGGGCCCAGUGCAAAAUGCAAGGUCUCUUGUUCAAAAUUAUUAAGGAUUUCUAGAUGGUGACAACACAACAUGAAAUCACACCUAGGGUCCUUCUAAACUCAGGGCUCUGUGUCACAGGUCACAUUCCCAUGAAACUGGUCUGGUAGUUCCUCGACUCAGCACUCACACAGAGGGAGAAUUACUCUGGAUUUUCUAGAUAUGAAUACAAUCAUUUUAGUAGGCUUUACUCAAUAUAUAGUAAUUAAAUAUCGUAUGUUUGAAAUUUAUAAACAUGCUGUAUAUCUGAAAACAUGUUUUUGAGAUUCAUCCAUGUUGCUCUAUAAAGUUGUCAUUAAUAUAUUUUUAUUGUUUAUAUUAUACCAACUAAUGUCACUAUAUGUUUAAACAUUUUCCUAUUGAAGAACAUUCAGGUCGUAUCCAGUUUUCAUGUUUGUUUCUGUAAGAAACAAUGCCUCCAGGAACAUUUUUGCAAAUGUCUCCUGGAGCCCAUAUUUAGCGUUCCAUAUGUUUUAGGCAUGCUUCUCAUAAACAGCAUAGAAAUGCACUGGGCUUUCAUCAAGUCUGACAAUCUGUCUUGUUACUAGUGAAAAUGGUCCAUUUACAUUUAUGUGGCUAUUGGUAUAUUUUGAUUCAUUUCUAUCAUCUUACUCUGUGCUUUCUAUUUGUCCUACUCCAUGUUUCUUUUUCUCUCCUAACUUAUCUUGAUUUUCAUUUCAAUUUUUCUCUACUGCUUUAAUUGAAUUCUUUCUUAUUCUGUCCUUGGAAUUGUAGCAUAUCUAAAUAUCAACGUCUCAGGUUAAUCAUUAUCUUAAUUAUCUAAUCAAAUAAUGCUGAAACUAGAGAAUGUUUUAACUUUUGUCACCCUCCUUCAAAUUUAUAAACUAAUGUCAUUCAGUAUUUUAGUUCUGCCUUAUUAUUUUGCCCUACAAAAUAGACAUUGUUAGUAUUAUUUUAUACUGUCACUAAUUAUUUAGAUUUAUCUACAUGUUUAUCCAUUUCUUGGCUCACAUUCCUUCUUAUAUAUCAGAAAUUCCUUCUAGAGUCAUUUUUAUUUCAUCUGAAGUACAGUUUUAAAUGUUCCUUUACUUAGAACCUAAUGAUAGUAACGUCUCAGUUUUGUUCAUCUGAAGAUCUAUUUGGUUUUGGUUCCUGAAAUACAGUUUUACUUGCUAAACAACUUAAAAUUGACAGCUACUCCAUCUCAACACAGCAUUCAUGGUUGCUAUCAGUCUAAUUUUUGUUCCUUUCUGGAAAAGAGAAUAAUUUUAAAAUCAUCUUUUUGUCUUUGGUACACCCCAGUUCCACCACAACGUAUAGAGGGGUAGAUUUCUUUUUAUUUUCAUGUUUGGAAAUUUUGUUCACAUCUCUGAUUAUUCAAAUCUAUCACCAGUUCUGAAAACAGCUCAUCCACUAUACAGCCAAAUAUUGCCUCCUCAUUCUCUCUGUUGUCUCAAAUUUAAAAUGCUAGAUCUUCUCAUUAUAACCUCUGUGUCUCUUACACUCGAUUUUCUAUUGUCAGUCACCUUUUUCUAUAAGCUAUAUUCUGGUUUACUUCUUCACAUUUGUCUUCCUAUUUACUAGUUCUUUCUUUAGCCGUGUCU